UAGCAACUCACAAUUGUCUGUAACACCAAUUCUAGGGGAUCCAACACCCUCACACAGACACAUGUCCAGGCAAAACAUGAAUGCACAUAAAAUAAAAACAAAAUAAUAUUUUUUAAUUAUUUUUUUGAAGUUGCCAUAGACUAAAUUUAAAAAGCAGCACACUAAUUCCUUGGUAGAGGCAAGGCAGCAUAAUAUUGAAUCAUGAGUUAGUAUCAUGGUUAUUACUAAUGACCCUUAUGCAGAUUUAUAAUGAGAAAAAGCACAUGGGGCAGAAAGAAAUACAAUGUGUACAGUCUGAAGAGGGGAAAAAAAGGACCAGAAAUUUAAUGUGACAGUGAAGGUUAGUGCUGAGAGAUAAGGAAUCUCUUGCUUGGUACAGGAAUAAAGGGAAGGAUGUGUGUCUCCAGCACAACAUCCUACUCCCCUAAGCAUCUAACUUGUGAAGAAGAACAUACAACCACUCACAGGCUUCUGCUAAUGUGGUUCAGGAGGGCAAGGGCCAUCCUUAGCUGAUGGCCAAACUAAGCAGUGUCAUCCACGUAGGGCUGGCUUUAGAGCCGAAAGGAUACAGGAGUGAGGAAGCCUGGAUUCUUCCUCCAUAGUUUCAAAGAACCACUGAGGCCAGGCCACAUGAAUCAGGUGAGUCCUGCAUAAAGGCCCUGAAAGGGCUGGUGUCCCUGAAGGCCCAUUGUAUGAAGCUAGAAAAGUCAAGCUUACAUUUUGGUAGAGACCUCAGAAUAUUGCAGAAGCCGGAGCCAAGAGGUAUCUGCCAAGGAGAGCUCUAUAUGUGGAAUAGAACAAACUCCAGAGAUGAGUGCAUGUUGUAGGCAGAAAAGCUGGCAGGGCAGAGUCAUCUAAGCCCUUUCCCCUGUGUAUGGAGCACAGGAUUCAGUUUGCCCUACUAGAUUUUGGUCCAUUAUUUCCUUCCAUGCCCCCACUCUUCUCUUUGGGGAUGGUAAUGAAUAUUCUGAACCAUUAUAAAUUAAAAAUAUAGAAUUUGUUUUUUGAUUUUACAGGGGGUUACAGUUAAGAGAUUGCCUUGAGUCUCAGACAAGACUUCAGAAUCUUAAACAGAUUCUCCACAGUCUUGAAGGACUAUGGAGACUUUGGAAGUUGUAUUAAAUGUAUUUUGGAUUGAUACAGUCACGUGAGAGGAGCAGAGGAAGUCCUGAGUGUGUGGCUUCCCUUAAUGUGAGUUAUUAAUACAGGUAUGGCCACAUCAAGGACUUCAUUGCCUCAGACUCAGAAAGAUAGAAAACCUUUUUCAGAGGAUCAAGUUCAAUAGUAUAUAAAGAAAAUGCCUACCACAGCUUUCUGCUCCUGGAUAUUUAUGGUCUAAAGACUGCUUCCCUAAAGGGAUGUCUCCUACCAGAAUUGGCUAAAACUGUUUCCUUGAUUCAGCCUUAUUCUACAAACCUUACCUCCUUGUUCAAUUCUAUAUAAUAAAUAGACUGAGUUUCUGGGGUACUACAGUUUUUCCAGCCAAGAGCUGAAGACCACCUGAUCCCACCUCUCUGUGCCUAUCUUCCAAACGCUCUAGGCUGGUUUAACAUAGGUGAAGCUAAGCUGUGAUGUUAGGUAGGUAUAGGGAAUGCAUACUCUACCUAUGAUGUCACCCAGUUUUGACUUUAUUGUGUGGUCAUAUCCUAACAUGCCCCUCAAAACUAGAGUUAUUUCUUCUUCCUUUUGAAUCAGAGGCCCUGUGUGAUUUCAUCGGCUUAUAGCCUAUAGUUCCAAACGUCUCUCAGGCUGGAGCAUCAACAUCUAGUGUCAGGAGUGGGGCACAGGAGGUGGGACGGAGUAUGAGAACAGCCCAUUUGGUCACACACUACAGCCAAACCACUAACGCCACUCCACCAGCAGUAGAAGCCAACAUUCCCAUCUUAGUGGAUUUCUGUAUCUAUGUCCUGGCUUGAUUCUGAACUUGGGUGGAAAUGGGGCACUCUAUAUCUUAUAUUCUCCAAAGCCUCAAUUCUGUGUGCCACUUACCAAGAGAGGGAAGUGAUCCUGUGAACCCCAGACUCUAGCAAGAACGGAGAAAGAGCUCUGGGCCUUGCUGAGGCCCACUGACCUGGAACAAUGUAGCUAUUAAUAGACACUAAGUUAUGUGUAUUUAUAAAACACCAUUUGUUGCAGUUAAUAACAGUGUAAGGAACUAGGGCUUAUGAGUUAUGCAGAGCAGAGUUUGAGGGUUGACAUGCCCUUUUUGUGAAAAUUCUUUUGACAAAUUAAUUUCUUUGAAGUUUAGUUAUCUGACCUCUAGAAUGGGAAUAAUAUUAUGGGUUUUAGAUACUCGCUGCCAGGAAUAAAUAUGGAACUGUAUUACACAUACUCAGUGGUAUAAUCAUUUCUGAUAAACCACCUCUUAAUUUUUAUUAUUGUCACAGUUUAAGUACUUUCCCUUAGAUAAGACAGAAAAGGAAAAGGACAAGAGGGCCCAAGCUUGAUCUCUUGUCUUGCCCAAAGUACAAGUAGGGAGAACUGCUCUGCUUGAUGUAGUGUAGCAGUUUCCUCCUCCUUAAGCAGUAAGGUAGACAACACAGAAUAGCUUCAGGAAAUCCCUGAAACUGACUACAUUCACUAGGCUCCUCCCUCCCAUAGUAAACAAUAAAAGCUGAGAGUCCUUCUCAGACAAGCCAAGCUGCAAAGACGACUCUGAGUCCAGCUUGGCUUCACCUAUAUUAAACAACCCCAGAGCUCUUGCUGCAAUCUAUAAUUUGCCAGAGUCAUCUAAUACAAAACCCAUUUUGGCAUAAUGUUUUGUGUUAUUAUUGAAUGCUUGUAGCCAAAAAUAACUGGCGAUAUAGUACACCAUGGGAUAUCAUGAUCAGGAAUCUGUCUGGGAGCUGUGGUAGGCGGCCAUAGCCUGGUAUCUUGAGAGAGUAUUGUAUAGUAUGCCACUGACUGCAAGAAAGGUCAAAAUUCAAAGUUAAAAGUGCAGUUUAAGCCGAAUGCACAUUGUUUUUGCACCAUAUUAAAGUAGGAAAUUAACAAGUUCAACUAUGUUAACUCGGAGACACCUGCAGUUCUAUGGAAUUGUGAGAAAUGGCCUUAGCCUGUUCUCCACCUGGUAUCGAAUGUUGGGUAACACUUGUCCUACCUCAGAAGGAAUAAUUAAUUAUCAGCAGCUGGGCUUGGGGGCGGGGCACUGCACAGGCAGGCAGUGGGGACCUCAAGACAGUUGUCCUAAGACAGAAGCAUGGUUUGUGUUUGCCAGAGCCGGGUAUGGAAAGAUGUUGAGACACAGAGCUGCAUUCGAAGCUCUUGAAAUGCUCUGAGACUCGGAGGACAAGGAGCGCUGCUUUUGUGGAAUACCAUCUGAUGGAAAUUAGAGACAUGAGGGAAAUGGGAUCCUACCUCGUAAAAAAUUCUUUGCACUCCUGAGAAUAUGACUCAGGCAGAAAUUUGAACCAAGAGGGGGUUGGUGAUCUACUUGGAGAAAAGGGAACUUUCUAUAAAUGGACUGAAUAGAAGGCCAGACAUUUACCUACUGAGCCGUAGAAAGUGCUUCCUUCUGCUUGCAGGAUGCACCGAGACUGCAGGGUGCUGAUUUUUGCUUCAAUAAAUGCACCUCUGUAGAAGGGCAAUGGGGGUAUUAUUUUUUGGAAGAAAAUUGUGAUGAGGUAAUAUUCUUGGGUUUUUACUGUGAGUUCCCUACUUCAGAUCCACGUCGUCAUUUUCUAGAAAACCAUUCUGGCUAUUUCUACCACAUUUGGUGAGCAGCAUGUGUGCCCUUGGGAUUGAGCAAUUCAAUCAAAAGGCUUUUGGAUUUCAAAUGCUUUGUGGUUUUGUGUGAUAUAGGCCAGGGUGUGAGAGAGGUGAUUUACAGACAGGCGGGGAGGGGGCUUGAGGAAGUGCUGUAGAGGCCACAGGGAACUCAAGAUAGUCCUAAGAAGCAUGGCAGCAUCCGGAAACACUUGUGUCGUUUCAUUGUCAGAGCCCAGGUACACCGGGAAGAAACUGAGGCAUGGUACUGCGCUGUGAGCCUAGGCUGUAAGAAGUCUGUGAGCUGGGUCCUGUGUACCCUUUCCCAGGAACUUCUUCCGUGUAAGGAGUAGAGGAAGCGAAGUGGGCGGGUCCAUGUGGAAGACUCCGAGGUCUCUGACCUAUGGGAAAUUGGCAGAAACUGUUUGUAACAAUAUGGGCCAGGCUGAAGAAAGGUAGCAAAGCUCUCCUUGAGAGUCCAGUAUGAGUGUUUGUGAACUUCCCUAAUCACUGGGAGCCGAGACUAGCAACUGUAUCUUUCUCCUCCUGGAUGUUUACAGCCUGAGACUGUCAGCCUACAGAGGCCUCCUCCUACUGAGACUAAUUAACCCCUUCCCCUGUGCUGUAAUAAACACGCUGAGAUUCUGGGCCGACAGGAGUAGCAGCAGAACCCCACCUGAUCCCAGUCUCACUGUGCAUUGUAUGUGUGCCUCUGUAUCUGUCUUUUCUACGUUCCCUCCCCUGCCACCCCUAACCAGGGGAUGGGGACCCAAGCCCAGCAGGUCACAGCACAGAAGAAACACUCAAGAUGUCUAAGAGCAGCCUGGACAGACUGGGAACCUCUCUGGGAGCCCAGGAACAGUGCAGACACUGCAAAAGGAUCACACUAACCCACGGUGAGGUUCAGCAGGAGGAACGACAUCUGCCUAGAAGCCUGCAAGGACGUCUGAUGAACCCAACAUGGAGUCUCUUCCUCUUGGGAUAAAAUGGGACGACUUAGCCUUCGCUGGUCACUGUUUCCUCAACCAAGGAGAAGGCUGCCAGCGACCUGCUAGCAGGGAGGAGCACCACUGAGACUCUCAAGGUUGCUAGGCAAGUGUGGACCGAUCAUGGCAGUCAUGGCGAUCAUGGCGUCAGAUACUAUUAGCCGCACCAAACUUUUUUUUAAAGAAACAAGCACCGUGGGUGUCUGGAGCGGUUUGUAGGUUCCUAGGUUGUGUUUCCAUGUUGCCCACGCCUUGGAGCCGAGUGACCGGCUCUUUGCCUUCGUAGGUCUCAUACACAUUUUACUGAAGUCCAAGCAUUGGAACAUGUGGAGCGGAUUUCGAGAUCAAAAUGAUUUUAUGGAUCUGAAUCACUUAUUAAUUUGAUGCAGCUGAAUAGAGGAUGGGACAUUUUUCUUAGCAUCUAAAGGGACACAGAGAAGGCCCCACACAGAUGGAUAAGGGCUUAAUGCCUUAAAUAUUAAAAGGCAUACCAUACAGGCUUAUGUCACCCCAAAGCUGGAGCUACUCUACUGAUAACAGGCAGGUUUCUGUCCCGUUUUCUUUAGGUAUCUUUGAAGCUGGAGGAAGCACAGGCUCGGUGCAGGCUGGAGCGAUGUUAGAUGCUCAUAACCAUCCGUGCAAACAGCCCGCAGCUCGAAGACGGAGGUCACAGAUGCUACCAAGUGCCUUCCAGUCUCCACUCCCCAACUCUUGUCACCCAAAUACAGAAUACAGUAUCAAGUUGGACAGGGUGGUACAAGUUUGUAAUUCAGCCUUUAAGGGGGAUGAGGUAGGGAGAUCGCAAGUUCAAGACCGGUCAGGGCAACUUAGCAAGAUCAUAUCAAGAGAGAGGGAGAGUGCGUGUGAAUGUGUGGGUGUUGUUGGUAUCAGGAAUUGCCUUGAGCAGUGACACCAUUUGGUCACUGCUGCCAUGGCAACGGCCAUACAUUCCCAGAAGACCUUUAGGCUCAAUUUGCAACCCCACCUGGGAGCAGUUCCGUCAUAUUCCAAAUAAAAGGCAGAUUUCUGCUCUCUUCCUCUUUUCUUUUCUUUCUCUCCCCCCUUGUCUUCUUCUCCCAUUAAAUCUCUCCACAUGGAACCAUGUUGGUGUUGGUUUGGUGUGCUUUAUCCACACAGGAGCGGGCCAGUGUGUGUGUGUGUGUGUGUGUGUGUGUGUUUAGCUCAAUGAUAGAGCUUGCCCAGCACGUACAAAGCCCUUAGUGCAAUCCCUGGUACCACAAAAAGAAAAAUUAUGCCUAAUCAAUUAGUUCUGAAGUCAGUUGAUUCUGCCCAAGCCUCACACACGCCUUAGCACACGCAUCUUAGCGCAAUGCACAUGAGGAAAGAAAUCUUGCAAAGAUAAAUGAAAAAAAAACUUGCAAAAAAUAAAUUAAAAAUAAACACUUCACUUGUAAUAUUAUUAUAAUGUGUCAAAUCUUAAUCAUCCGGGAGACAACUUAUUAAAGAGGUGGGUUCUGGUGAUUCUUACUGCAGAUAAAUUGACCUUAAAAAUUAAGCUGAACUGGAAAUGACAAUGCCCAGUGUUAACUCUCUAACUGUGACCUAAAUCGCACGCUUCACUAACGAC
ensembl:lncRNA